UACGUAGGGUGCGAGCGUUGUCCGGAAUUAUUGGGCGUAAAGGGCUCGUAGGCGGUUUGUCGCGUCGGGAGUGAAAACCUCGGGCUUAACUCGGGGCUUGCUUUCGAUACGGGCAGACUAGAGGUAUGCAGGGGAGAACGGAAUUCCUGGUGUAGCGGUGAAAUGCGCAGAUAUCAGGAGGAAUACCGGUGGCGAAGGCGGUUCUCUGGGCAUGAUCUGACGCUGAGGAGCGAAAGUGUGGGGAGCGAACAGG
rnacentral:rRNA from 1 species